AUUGAACGCUGGCGGCAUGCCUUACACAUGCAAGUCGAACGGUAACAGGUCUUCGGAUGCUGACGAGUGGCGAACGGGUGAGUAAUACAUCGGAACGUGCCCGAUCGUGGGGGAUAACGAAGCGAAAGCUUUGCUAAUACCGCAUAAGAUCUACGGAUGAAAGCAGGGGACCGCAAGGCCUUGCGCGAACGGAGCGGCCGAUGGCAGAUUAGGUAGUUGGUGGGAUAAAAGCUUACCAAGCCGACGAUCUGUAGCUGGUCUGAGAGGACGACCAGCCACACUGGGACUGAGACACGGCCCAGACUCCUACGGGAGGCAGCAGUGGGGAAUUUUGGACAAUGGGCGAAAGCCUGAUCCAGCCAUGCCGCGUGCAGGAUGAAGGCCUUCGGGUUGUAAACUGCUUUUGUACGGAACGAAAAGACUCUGGUUAAUACCUGGGGUCCAUGACGGUACCGUAAGAAUAAGCACCGGCUAACUACGUGCCAGCAGCCGCGGUAAAAC
rnacentral:rRNA from 1 species